GACGAACCGAGCGAACGUUGUUCGGAAUAACUGGGCUUAAAGGGCGCGUAGGCGGCCUGCUAAGUCGGACGUGAAAUCCCUCGGCUCAACCGGGGAACUGCGUCCGAUACUGGCGAGGCUUGAAUCCGGGAGAGGGAUGUGGAAUUCCAGGUGUAGCGGUGAAAUGCGUAGAUACCUGGAGGAACACCAGUGGCGAAGGCGGCAUCCUGGACCGGCAUUGACGCUGAGGUGCGAAAGCGUGGGGAGCAAACAGG
rnacentral:rRNA from 1 species